rnacentral:rRNA from 1 species
CAGCCGCCGCGGUAAUACCGGCGGCCCGAGUGGCGGUCACUAUUAUUGGGCUUAAAGCGGCCGUAGCCGGGUUGGGAAGUCCUCCGGGGAAUCUGGCCGCUUAAAGGUCAGAAUGCCGGAGGAUACUCCCAGCCUAGGGAGCGGGCGAGGCCGAGGGGAUUCCCGGGGUAGGGGGGAAAUCCUAUAAUCCCGGGAGGACCACCCGUGGCGAAGGCGCUCGGCUGGAACGCGUCCGACGGUGAGGGACGAAGGCCAGGGGAGCAAACCGGAUUAGAUACCCGGGUAGUCCUGGCUGUAAACGAUGCGGACUUUGUGUCGGACAAGCUAUGAGCUUGUCCGGUGCCGGAGGGAAACCGUUAAGUCCGCCGCCUGGGGAGUACGGCCGCAAGGCUGAAACUUAAAGGAAUUGGCGGG